CAUGCUAAACUUGACAUGUUUGUUGUGAGCCAAAUUUACCCAUUCUGUUUUAGGGUUUUAUAGUGAUGUUUUGUGAUGCUCGUGGGCUGAAAUUGUUGGUAGAAAACUGGUAGAGAUGAUGGGGAGAGUUAACCUAGGGUUAAAUGUGAGAAUGGUAGUGAUGUGAGUGGAAUAGUGUGAGGUUUUGAGGGUUUGAAAAGCUAAAUUUGGGGUUAGUGGUAAUUGGGGGCUAAAGUGAGUUAAUCCUAGUUUAAAAUGUCAUUUAGGACUUGUGGGAAAGCUUGGGUUGAGCAAAUGAGAAAAAUGAGAGACAAAGGUGAAAGCAAGAGCCAUUUCUAGGGUAAAUUGGGUGUUGAGGGGUCAAAUUUUGAAUCGGUGGAGUUUUCG
rnacentral:lncRNA from 1 species